rnacentral:rRNA from 1 species
AGAAGUCGUAACAAGGUUUCCGUAGGUGAACCUGCGGAAGGAUCAUUGUCGAAACCUGCCGAACAGAACGACCCGCGAACUAGUAUAGCAACCACAGGGGGUGCUCUGCCCCAUUUCCGGGUGCGCUAUUAAAUUGCGUUCCUCGGCUAAAAACAAACCCCGACGCGAAUCGCGUCAAGGAACUCAAACAAGAGAAGAGAAGCGUGCCAUCCCCUGGGUUCUCGUUUGCGAGUGAAGCUAUGGGGGGUAGCGGCCACAUCUUUCACGAACAUAAUGACUCUCGGCAACGGAUAUCUCGGCUCUCGCAUCGAUGAAGAACGUAGCGAAAUGCGAUACUUGGUGUGAAUUGCAGAAUCCCGUGAACCAUCAAGUCUUUGAACGCAAGUUGCGCCUGAAGCCAAUAGGCAGAGGGCACGUCUGCCUGGGCGUCUCAUGUCGCGUCGCCCCUCUCCCUGCGCCCGCAAAGGGCUCUUGGAUUGAUGGGGGUGGAUUUUGGCCCCCCGUGUGCCCUUAGUGCGCGGUCGAUCUAAAGAUGAGUCCCUGGCGAUGAACAUCACGAUAAGUGGUGGAUGUGAUGAUGUUGCAUCAUUUUGUGCACUCUCGUCCCAAUGGGUUAUAUUUUAUUUUUGACCUUGAAAGCACCGUUUUCACGGAGCCUCGAUCGCGACCCCAGAUCAGGCGGGAUUACCCGAUGAGUUUAAGCAUAUCUAUAAGUGGAGGAAAAGAAACUUACAAGGAUUCCCUUAGUAACGGCGAGCGAACCGGGAAU